CGCAUUUUGGAGCGGACCCUGAGCAGCCGCAGCCAGGCCAUCGCCAACUACGUGCUGGUGCCCUUCCACGACCCAGAUAUUGGCCCAGUGACCCUCACAGCAGACCCAGUGGUGUUUCAGAAGGAGCUGAGAGAACUCUACGU
rnacentral:lncRNA from 1 species